rnacentral:lncRNA from 1 species
UUUCCACCAGAAACCAGUUUUUUUUUUUUGCAAGCAUGUCCUGUAAGAUUUCCCCUGUUCUUUCUUUACUUGUCCUGCUACUAUCACUUUCACUACUCUUGCCUCCAACUUCAACCAGAAGCACUGACUUUGGUAAGUGUUACCUAUGUAAUGUAAGUUAUAACAAAAAGGAAAAAUUAAAAAUAAAAAAACAACUAUCAUUGUACAGUAACCUUCUUCUAAGUUUUGGAUUUUAAUCUAUUGUUCAGUACUUUGUUUUCCGUUUUCGGGUUGAUUGCAGGAAAGAAGGUCAAUGAAGAGAUUCAGAGAAAUCUAAUAGAAGGGAAAGGACCAAUUUGUCGUGUUCAUGCAGGAAGCGGUUAUCUCCCUAUAGAGUGUCCUCCUUUUCAUGCCAAUAGCGAGAAGAAGAAAUUUACUGGGGCAACAAAGGGUCAUAACUAGCUGUUACAAAACAAAGCCUUGCUAUGUGAGUAAUAAUUCUCUAAAAUUAAGUAGCAGAUAUACAAGAAAUAAAGAGAUUAAGUAAGGAUAUACUAUAAGUGUUCCUAAAUACAUAGCCUGAGACAUAACUCUAUCCCUACUCUAUUUUUUCUUCUCUCACCUAUCGAAUUAAACACUAGUAAAAAUAUUUUUUGUUUCUUCUUUUCCCCUUCCAUUCUCGCACUUUAAUCUUUGUACAAAAGGGAAGCCUCAAUUUCUAACUUACAGGUUACCACUCAAUCUAGUGGGCUUGCAAUUUCAAUGAACUCAGUGUUUCUAUCUUAAUUUGUUCACUUAAAGAUGGCUAAUGUAUUCUACAGCAUAAUUGUGAUUAUGAUU